AGUGAACGCUGGCGGCAGGCCUAACACAUGCAAGUCGAGCGGCAGCACGGCAAUAGCAAUAUUGUGGGUGGCGAGCGGCGGACGGGUGAGGAAUGCAUCGGGAUCUACCCUGUCGUGGGGGACAACGUAGGGAAACUUACGCUAAUACCGCAUGAUCUGGAGACAGCAAAGCCGGGGACCUUCGGGCCUGGCGCGAUGGGAUGAGCCGAUGUCCGAUUAGCUAGUUGGCGGGGUAAAGGCCCACCAAGGCGACGAUCGGUAGCUGGUCUGAGAGGACGACCAGCCACACUGGAACUGAGACACGGUCCAGACUCCUACGGGAGGCAGCAGUGGGGAAUAUUGGACAAUGGGGGCAACCCUGAUCCAGCCAUGCCGCGUGGGUGAAGAAGG
rnacentral:rRNA from 1 species